rnacentral:tRNA from 1 species
UGGCCCAGUGGUAGAGUGCUUGCCUUGCAAGCAAGAGGCCCUGGGUUCGAUUCCUCAG